rnacentral:rRNA from 1 species
UACGUGAGGGGCGAGCGUUGUCCGGAGUACUGGGCGUAAAGCGCACGCAGGCGGUCUGCUAAGUUUGGAGUGACAGUUGGUGGCUUAACUGCCAAAGUGCUUCGAAAACUGACAGACUUGAGGGCUUCAGAGGGACACGGAAUUCCGGGUGGAGUGGUGAAAUGCGUAGAGAUCCGGAGGAACACCAAAGGCGAAGGCAGUGUCCUGGGGAGUACCUGACGCUCAGGUGACGGAAAGCCAGGGGAGGCGAACAGGG